rnacentral:rRNA from 1 species
UACGUAGGGGGCAAGCGUUGUCCGGAUUGACUGGGCGUAAAGCGCACGCAGGCGGACGCGCGCGUGGGGUGUGAAAUCUGGCCGCUUAACGGCCAGGCGCCAUCCCAUACGGCGCGACUGGAGUGAUGCAGAGGUCGAUGGAAUUGCCGGUGUAGUGGUGAAAUGCGUAGAGAUCGGCAGGAACACCCAGGGGGAAACCAGUCGACUGGGCAUCUACUGACGCUGAGGUGCGAGAGCGUGGGGAGCGAACAGGG